GACGAACCGUACGAACGUUAUUCGGAAUUACUGGGCUUAAAGGGUGCGUAGGCGGCGCAGUAAGUUGGGUGUGAAAUCCCUCGGCUUAACCGAGGAAUUGCGCCCAAAACUACUGUGCUCGAGGGAGGUAGAGGUGAGCGGAACUUAGGGUGGAGCGGUGAAAUGCGUUGAUAUCCUAAGGAACACCGGUGGCGAAAGCGGCUCACUGGACCUCUUCUGACGCUGAGGCACGAAAAGCUAGGGGUAGCAAACGGG
rnacentral:rRNA from 1 species